AUGCAGCAGAUUGGAGGAGAGUUUGAGAAAUAUAAUUGAUAAUUUAAAGAUUUUUUAGGGUCUAAACAAGUAAAGAAUCUUUAACAUUGGUCUGGAAAAGAUGAAACCCAAUUAAUUAUUUAAUAUAUUUAAACUACAUAUAAAAUAUUUUUUUUGGUUUGCGCCUACAAGAAAAGAUACAUAGUCUUGAACCAAGACUCAUUACAUGUGAUUUAUUUAAGCAUACCAAUUAAAACUAAUUAUUGAGUGCCUGGUUUGAUGAAAGAAUUUCCACCAAAGUUUUGAAAUCUUGUGCAGCAUGUCCAUUGGGAGCAGCAGCCUGCAAAAGAAGCUCUUGAAGGGCAUGAGCCUUGCUUCUUAUUUUUCUCCCUUGUUCAUGAACCAUGAUGAGCUCUAAGCUCUUGGUUACCCCAUUCUUUGUGAAGACACCACCAUCAACUCUCACACCAACCUUCCAUAUAUCCUCUAUUAUCUUUGCAUUUGUCACAUUAUCAGCAAAAACUACAGGCCUACAAAUCAUUGGAAUCCCAUUUGCUAUGCUCUCACACACAGAAUUAGCUCCACAAUGUGUCACAUGUACACCAAUUGAUUUAUGUGCCAAUACUUGAGCCUGUGGUGCCCAUGGAACUACCUUUCCAUGCAAGCUAGUCCUCUCAAUAAAACCAUCUGGCAAAAUCCCCCUUAAAUUCUCCCUCAGUGACCAAAGAAAUGGAAUUCUAUUCUCUUGGAGUGCCUCUGCCAAUUCUUUAAUCUCAUUAUGAGGGAAAUUAGCCACAGUUCCACAGCUAAUAUAAGCCACGGACAUGGUUUUUUGGCUAUCCAACCAUGACAGACACCCUGUAGCAUCUGUAUUUGACAAUGGCAAAGGUGGUGGUGGAAUUGUAAUAGUCACAAAACCCACAUUAAGCAAGCCUGGACACCUGGAUUUCAGAUCAUCUAAUAGGGAUUUAGGGCAAAGCUCGUCGUAAAAACUCAUAACAAGAGCAUUAGCUUGUGGCAGCACAUUUCCAAUUCGAUUUAGCAUGCUAGAAAAGAGGCUUUGUUUAUCAUUCAGUGCUUCAAGAGGCAAAUCCUCAAUGCUGAUUUUAGCUAACCCUGGAAUAGUUUCCAGUAUUUUUCUCUUAGAUGAUGACUCAGUAUCUCCACCAUUGCCACCAAUAGCACAGUACUGACGAAUCUUGUCAGAAUAAAUGUGGGCGGAGAGGGAAUAAGCGAGGGGUAACCAAACUGGGAUCCAAGGAACACUCAAAUCCUCCGCGAUUGCUCCUGAAAACACCAAGAAAGCAUCUGUUAUCAAGCAACUAAUUUGGCCUAUCUCUGUUGCUGCCAAUUCCAAGCCUUUUCUGAAGUUAUCUGGUGUUGCCUUUACAAAUAGGUCCACUCUUUCUGUUGGACGUCCUGAAAAGACAUGAUUCAUUGGCACACCAUCAGAAACAUUGCAGGGUUUUAUGUUAUUAGGAAGGUCUGUUGCUUUUGAUGCCGAGAAGAGAAAAUUGUUGGAGUCUUCUGUGCUUAAAAAAGAGAACUGGGUGUCAGGGGCGGCCAUUGCUAGCUUCUUGACAAGGUUGAGGAGAGCCAGAGGGUGGCUGCCAAAUGGGAAUGCCAUGGCUGCAACAUGAUGUUUCGGUACCCAUUUGGUUGGUUGCCUGCAACUUAGCAUUGUAUCAAAUUGAGUAGCAAUCUGAGAAAAGAGAUCCAAGAAUAAAAUAAGAAUAAAACGAUUACGAAAGUAAAAUUGAAGAAGAAGAAGAAAUUGUUCUACAUAAAAAAGAAGAAAUGAAGUUUCAAAUAUAUGGUGGCCAGGCCAGCUAAGGAUAGUAUUAAGACUCAGUUUGGCAUUG
rnacentral:misc_RNA from 1 species